GGUCCCAUCGUCUAGUGGUUAAGGACACUGGCCUCUCACGCCAGAAACACGAGUUCAAAUCUCGUUGGGACUA
rnacentral:tRNA from 1 species